rnacentral:lncRNA from 1 species
AUGGGCUAAAACAGAUAGCACACACUUGUGCUUAGGAAGAGCUAACGACAUGUCCUCCUAUCAUCAGUUGGUCAAUCUUAUGGGACAAUGCAUCUACCUUGCUAGACAGGUCCAUAGAAUGACUUAUUUCACAAAUGGUCCCUUUUCUUUGAGAACUCGAGGGUGCUUGACGAGAACAGGAAGCAUGGUGGAGGGAGUUUUCAUUGAGAUUUUCAAAUAAUUCCCAUGCUUCAUGUUCAUUUUUAAGCAUGAAAGUCCCCCCAC